UACGUAGGGAGCAAGCGUUGUCCGGAAUCAUUGGGCGUAAAGAGCGCGUAGGUGGCUUUAUAAGUCCGUUGUGAAAGUCAAAGGCUCAACCUUUGAAAGCCGAUGGAUACUGUGAAGCUAGAGUACGGAAGAGGCGAGUGGAAUUCCUGGUGUAGCGGUGGAAUGCGCAGAUAUCAGGAGGAACACCAAUAGCGAAGGCAGCUCGCUGGGACGUGACUGACACUGAGGCGCGAAAGCGUGGGGAGCGAACAGG
rnacentral:rRNA from 1 species